rnacentral:rRNA from 1 species
GACGAACGCUGGCGGCGUGCCUAAUACAUGCAAGUUGAGCGAUGAAGAUUGGUGCUUGCACCAAUUUGAAGAGCAGCGAACGGGUGAGUAACGCGUGGGGAAUCUGCCUUUGAGCGGGGGACAACAUUUGGAAACGAAUGCUAAUACCGCAUAACAACUUUAAACAUAAGUUUUAAGUUUGAAAGAUGCAAUUGCAUCACUCAAAGAUGAUCCCGCGUUGUAUUAGCUAGUUGGUGAGGUAAAGGCUCACCAAGGCGAUGAUACAUAGCCGACCUGAGAGGGUGAUCGGCCACAUUGGGACUGAGACACGGCCCAAACUCCUACGGGAGGCAGCAGUAGGGAAUCUUCGGCAAUCGACGAAAGUCUGACCGAGCAACGCCGCGUGAGUGAAGAAGGUUUUCAGAUCGUAAAACUCUGUUGGUAGAGAAGAACGUUGGUGAGAGUGGAAAGCUCAUCAAGUGACGGUAACUACCCAGAAAGGGACGGCUAACUACGUG